rnacentral:rRNA from 1 species
GAAUCCCGUCUUUGACAUGGACUGCCAGUGCCUAAUAGGUGCGCUCUCGAAGAGUCGAGUUGUUUGGGAAUGCAGCUCAAAGUGGGUGGUAAAUGCCAUCUAAAGCUAAAUAUUGGCGAGAGACCGAUAGCGAACAAGUACCGUGAGGGAAAGAUGAAAAGAACUUUGGAAAGAGAGUUAAACAGUACGUGAAAUUGCUGAAAGGGAAACGCUUGAAGUCAGUCGCGUCGGGUUGGAAAUCAACCUCGCUUUUGCUGGGUGUACUUUCCGUCCGAUGGGCCAGCAUCGGUUUCGGUCGCUGGACAAAGUUCUUUGGGAAAGUGGCAUCCUCGGAUGUGUUAUAGCCCUUGGGACAUAUGCAGCGGUCGGGAUCGAGGAACUCAGCACGCCCGCGAGGGCUGGGGCUUUUGUCCACAUGAACGUGCUUAGGAUGCUGGCAUAAUGGCUUUAAUCGACCCGUCUUGAAACACGGACCAAGGAGUCUAACAUGCCUGCGAGUGUUUGGGUGGAAAACCCAUGCGCGCAAUGAAAGUGAAGGUUGAGAUCCCUGUCGUGGGGAGCAUCGACGCCCAGACCAGACCUUCUGUGACGGAUCUGCGGUAGAGCACGCAUGUUGGGACCCGAAAGAUGGUGAACUAUGCCUGAAUAGGGUGAAGCCAGAGGAAACUCUGGUGGAGGCUCGUAGCGAUUCUGACGUGCAAAUCGAUCGUCAAAUUUGGGUAUAGGGGCGAAAGACUAAUCGAACCAUCUGGUAGCUGGUUCCUGCC